UCUCCGUAGGUGAACCUGCGGAGGGAUCAUUACAGAGUUCAUGCCCUACCGGGUAGAUCUCCCACCCUAUGUUAUUAUUACUUUGUUGCUUUGGCGGGCCGUUAGGCUCCGGCCCGACUACCGGCCCCGGCUGGUAAGCGCCCGCCAGAGGACCCAAAACCCUGAAUAUUAGUGUCGUCUGAGUACCAUACAAUAGUUAAAACUUUCAACAACGGAUCUCUUGGUUCUG
rnacentral:misc_RNA from 1 species